GAUGAACGCUGGCGGCGUGCCUAAUACAUGCAAGUCGAGCGAACAGACGAGGAGCUUGCUCCUCUGACGUUAGCGGCGGACGGGUGAGUAACACGUGGAUAACCUACCUAUAAGACUGGGAUAACUUCGGGAAACCGGAGCUAAUACCGGAUAAUAUAUUGAACCGCAUGGUUCAAUAGUGAAAGACGGUUUUGCUGUCACUUAUAGAUGGAUCCGCGCCGCAUUAGCUAGUUGGUAAGGUAACGGCUUACCAAGGCGACGAUGCGUAGCCGACCUGAGAGGGUGAUCGGCCACAUUGGAACGGAGACACGGUCCAGACUCCUACGGGAGGCAGCAGUAGGGAAUCUUCCGCAGUGGGCGAAAGCCUGACGGAGCAACGCCGCGUGAGUGAUGAAGGUCUUCGGAUCGUAAAACUCUGUUAUUAGGGAAGAACAAAUGUGUAAGUAACUAUGCACGUCUUGACGGUACCUAAUCAGAAAGCCACGGCUAACUACGUG
rnacentral:rRNA from 1 species